rnacentral:rRNA from 1 species
GACGAACGCUGGCGGCGUGGAUUAGGCAUGCAAGUCGAACGGUAUCAUCCUUUCGGGGGUGAGAGAGUGGCGAACUGGUGAGUAACACGUAGGUUAUCUACCCUCAAGACGGGGACAACCCAGGGAAACUUGGGCUAAUACCGGAUGUGAGCAACUUUUAGUUGUUUGAAAGGUGGCGUAAGCUGUCGCUUGGGGAUGAGCCUGCGUCCUAUUAGUUAGUUGGUGAGGUAACGGCUCACCUAGGCAAUGAUAGGUAGGCGGCCUUAACGGGUGGUCGCCCACACUGGGAUUGAGAUACGGCCCAGACUCCUACGGGAGGCAGCAGUCGAGAAUAGUCUACAAUGGUCGGAAGACUGAUAGUGCGACGCCGCGUGAACGAUGAAUCCCUUCGGGGUGUAAAGUUCUUUUAUAUGUGAGCAGUGCUUCUUAUAUUAACAGUAUGGGGAGAGAGAUAUUAGCAUAUGAAUAAGCAACGGCUAACUCCGUGCCAGCAGCCGCGGUAACUCGUCG